rnacentral:tRNA from 1 species
GCCCCCGUAGCCCAAAGGCAGAGGCAAGCGUCUUAAACACGCUCCAGUGCGGGUUCGAGUCCCGCCGGGGGUA